GACGAACGCUGGCGGCGUGCUUAACACAUGCAAGUCGAACGGAAAGGCGAUGCUUUUGUGGGGUGCUCGAGUGGCGAACGGGUGAGUAACACGUGAGUAACAUGUCCUUGACUUUGGGAUAACUUCAGGAAAAAGGGGAUCAUACCGGAUAGAAGCUUCUGAUGCGUGGUGGUGGAUGGAAAGAUUCGGCGGUUGGGGCUGGAUUCGCGGCUUAUCAGCUUGAUGGUGGGGUAGUGGCGUACCAAGGCUUUGACGGGUAGGCGGCCUUGGAGGGGGACCGGCCACAUUGGGACUGAGAUACGGCCCAGACGCCUACGGGAGGCAGCAGUGGGGAAUAUUGCGCAAUGGGCGGAAGCCUGAUGCAGCAGCGCCGCGUGCGUGAUGACGGCCUUCGGGUGAUAAACCGCUUUCGCCUGUGACGAAGCGUGAGUGACGGUAAUGGGUAAAGAAGCACCGGCUAACUACGUG
rnacentral:rRNA from 1 species